rnacentral:rRNA from 1 species
CAGUCGCCACGGUAAUACGGAGGGUGCGAGCGUUAAUCGGAAUUACUGGGCGUAAAGCGCACGCAGGCGGUUUGUUAAGUCAGAUGUGAAAUCCCCGAGCUUAACUUGGGAACUGCAUUUGAAACUGGCAAGCUAGAGUCUUGUAGAGGGGGGUAGAAUUCCGGGUGUAGCGGUGAAAUGCGUAGAGAUCUGGAGGAAUACCGGUGGCGAAGGCGGCCCCCUGGACAAAGACUGACGCUCAGGUGCGAAAGCGUGGGGAGCAAACAGGAUUAGAUACCCGGGUAGUCCCUGUCUCUUAUAC